UAGACCUGUCAUGUUUUGUCUCUGGAACUUUGAAAACUACCACAUACCUGACUUUCUCCAGGCUGGCUUUAUACUUGCUCUGAGGUUCCUAGUUAAUGCUCUAAUUUUCCAACAUGGUGCUGGCUGUGACAAAAGCAGGGCAGGAACUGGCUGCUGUGACUUCGGGAGACCAACGUAAUUUCAAUAAAGGAGACAGGAUAUCUCCAUUAUUGGGCUAGUGGAAAGCUGUCAAGGAGGAAUUCUGAGGAGUCCGAUGGAUGGUGAUCUCUGUGGAAGAGAAGCCCUCUGGAGAUGGAACAGCAGGAUAAGCCUUGUAACCUGGUCUCCAGAGCUCUGCUUUGAAAUUGAAGAUCAUUGCACAGUAAACCAGACUGAGCAUGCAAGACCUCAAGGGCCAAUGCUACCAUACACCUUUGCUGAGUCACCCCUGCUCUCCUGAGCUGAAAUCUCUGAUUGUGUGACUAGUCUGGGAGGGAGCAACCAUCGGUCCAAGGCUAGAUAUUUUGGGGUCAAUGGGUCUCCAGUUCAGUAAUGUUAAUGUAUUUCUUCUUUUUGUUCUUUUUUUUUUUUGGUGGUAGGGGUCAGAGGUGCUGGAACAAUGUGAAUAGUGGGGGUGCUGAGAGCAAUUGAACCAAACUGUAAACUCUGUAUAUAUUGGAAACCACUUAAAGUCAGGGGUUGCUGCAGUACCCUCUGCACCCCUAGUUCCAGCACCUCUGAUGGGGGUGGUUGUAAACUAAUAAUUGCAGUUGUAAUUAUAUAGAAGAGAAGAAAAUCCCCCUGCUAGAAGUAUGGAAGAACUGACACAAUAGAUUAUGAUGACUCUUUCAAAGAAGUGUAAUGGAAACAAUGCACAAUACUAUGACUAGCAUUUACAUUAUGUAGAGCUUCUAAUUUUUAAGCCACUUGACAACAUUGACUGAUUGAUCUUCAUAGCACCCCCGUGAGAGAGGUAUGUAAGCACUGUUAGCUUCUUUGUUGUGCUGCAUCAGAACCUGAUUAUGAACUGGAAUGUAAAUGCAAAAGGCAUGGGAGGAAAUUUUCAGAACACAGAUCAUUUGCUUAAAUUAUUUUGCACCCUCUUGUAGAUUUAGACCCUCUUGUAAAGAAAACACAGCAUAAUGACACUGCCUCCUGUGAACAGCCAUGUCAAGAAAUACUGCAGUACAAUAAUAGCCCACAUUUAGAGCUGGUUUUAUAAUAAUCCCAAACAGUUUAUUUGACAAGCAUUUUCCCUGUCAAUUUACAAAAAAAAACCUUGUUCACAAAUAGAUUUUCUUUAUUUUUUUUUAGUAGGUUUGCGUGGAAUUUUCAAAAGUGCCUAAGUGACUUCAUACCUUGAGUCCAUUUUCAAAAAUAACCCAGGCACUUGGAAGCCUAAAUCCCAUUUCAGUGAAAUUCAGGAUCCUAAAUCUCUAGGUAAUGUUUGAAAAUCUGAUUUUGGAUUCUUAAAUUAUUUACGCACAUUUGAAAAUUUGAUCCUUUGUAGAUGGUCAAAUAAUAAUGUUCACACCAUUUCUUCCAUCACUGAGUAAAAAAAAAUUUUGUUAGAAUAAAUUCUUGCAUUAUAUAACCAACUGUACCUUUUCUACUCCUAUAAUCUAAAAAAUUGAAUCAUGGUAUAGCGUAAGCCUUCUUAACAGGCAGGUAAUCAACUUAACCAAGUUGAUUACGCAUUCAGCUGUUCGCUGGUGUUAUAUUAUAAAAAGCCCUUAAGUCUCUUAUCUGCAGC